rnacentral:rRNA from 1 species
UACGGAAGAUCCAAGCGUUAUCCGGAAUUACUGGGCGUAAAGAGUUGCGUAGGUGGCAUAGUAAGUUGGUAGUGAAAGCGUGUGGCUCAACCAUAUACACAUUACCAAAACUGCUAAGCUUGAGAGCGAGAGAGGUGAAUGGAAUUCCCAGUGUAGGAGUGAAAUCCGUAGAUAUUGGGAGGAACACCGAUGGCGUAGGCAGUUCACUGGCUCGUCUCUGACACUAAGGCACGAAAGCGUGGGGAGCAAACGGG